rnacentral:rRNA from 1 species
CCUACGGGAGGCAGCAGUAGGGAAUUUUCGGCAAUGGGGGGAACCCUGACCGAGCAACGCCGCGUGAACGAAGAAGUUAUUCGUAAUGUAAAGUUCUUUUAUCAGGGAAGAAAGAGAAAUUUGACGGUACCUGAGGAAUAAGCUCCGGCUAACUACGUGCCAGCAGCCGCGGUAAUACGUAGGGAGCGAGCGUUAUCCGGAAUUAUUGGGCGUAAAGGGUGCGUAGAUGGCAUAGUAAGUCUUUUGUAAAAAUGCUGGGCUCAACCCAGUAGGGCAAAAGAUACUGCAAAGCUAGAGUAUGACAGAGGCAAGUGGAACUACAUGUGUAGCGGUAAAAUGCGUAAAUAUAUGUAAGAACACCAGUGGCGAAGGCGGCUUGCUGGGUCGAUACUGACAUUGAGGCACGAAAGCGUGGGGAGCAAACAGGAUUAGAUACCCUGGUAGU